GUCUCUUUAGCUCAAUGGUUAGAGCGUCUGGUUCAUGCCCAGAAGGUUUAAGGUGCAAGUCCUUAAAGAGACACCA
rnacentral:tRNA from 1 species